rnacentral:rRNA from 1 species
CUAAUACAUGCAGUUGAGCGCUGAGGUUGGUACUUGUACCAACUGGAUGAGCAGCGAACGGGUGAGUAACGCGUGGGGAAUCUGCCUUUGAGCGGGGGACAACAUUUGGAAACGAAUGCUAAUACCGCAUAAAAACUUUAAACACAAGUUUUAAGUUUGAAAGAUGCAAUUGCAUCACUCAAAGAUGAUCCCGCGUUGUAUUAGCUAGUUGGUGAGGUAAAGGCUCACCAAGGCGAUGAUACAUAGCCGACCUGAGAGGGUGAUCGGCCACAUUGGGACUGAGACACGGCCCAAACUCCUACGGGAGGCAGCAGUAGGGAAUCUUCGGCAAUGGACGAAAGUCUGACCGAGCAACGCCGCGUGAGUGAAGAAGGUUUUCGGAUCGUAAAACUCUGUUGGUAGAGAAGAACGUUGGUGAGAGUGGAAAGCUCAUCAAGUGACGGUAACUACCCAGAAAGGGACGGCUAACUACGUGCCAGCAGCCGCGGUAAUACGUAGGUCCCGAGCGUUGUCCGGAUUUAUUGGGCGUAAAGCGAGCGCAGGUGGUUUAUUAAGUCUGGUGUAAAAGGCAGUGGCUCAACCAUUGUAUGCAUUGGAAACUGGUAGACUUGAGUGCAGGAGAGGAGAGUGGAAUUCCAUGUGUAGCGGUGAAAUGCGUAGA